rnacentral:rRNA from 1 species
UACGUAGGGGGCAAGCGUUGUCCGGAUUUAUUGGGCGUAAAGAGCUCGUAGGCGGCUUGGCAAGUCGGGUGUGAAAACUCCAGGCUCAACCUGGAGAUGCCACUCGAGACUGCUAUGGCUAGAGUCCGGUAGGGGACCACGGAAUUCCUGGUGUAGCGGUGAAAUGCGCAGAUAUCAGGAGGAACACCGGUGGCGAAGGCGGUGGUCUGGGCCGGCACUGACGCUGGAGGAGCGAAAGCGUGGGGAGCAACAGG